rnacentral:rRNA from 1 species
CCCCGCCGUGUCAUUUAUUUUUCCCCCUUGAGGCCGUGAUUCGGGGGCGGCGAGUGUCACCGUCUUCUGGUGGCUGUCCACAUGUGUAAAACCGUCUGUAACCUAGGGCCGGUCAAUACCGGUGUCAACCGCCGCGGUAUCUCCGGCGGCCCGAGUGCCGAUCUUUAUUAUUGUGUCUAAAAGGUCCUUAUGCGGUUAGGUCUUCCCUCCGGGAGAUCUGAUAGGUCAUCUAUUAUGUUUUCCGGGGAUACUGCCAAACUUGUAACCGGGAGAGGUAAGAGGCAGUACGGGUCUACGAGUGAACUCUUGUAUUCCCUGUGGGACCUCCUGUGGGAAUGGCGUCUUACCAUACCGGGUCCUACGGCGAGGGACUAACGAUGGGGGCUCGAGCCGGAUUAGAUACCCGGGUAGUCGCAACCGUAAUUGAUGCUCCCUAGGUGUCAGACGUGUUUCGACCGUGUCUGGUGCCGCAAGAUAACGCGUGACACUAGCCGCCUGCUUAUUACGGUUCCCCGGCUGAAACUUAUUUGACUUGUGGGGGGAGCAC